rnacentral:snRNA from 1 species
AGUGACAACGAAGACUUCGAGAAGCAGGUCCGCAAGAGUGAGAAGAAGCAGAGGCAAAUCGACGAGGUAGACGUCAAAGUCAACUUGAUGCAGUCCAAAAUGAACAACAG